rnacentral:other from 1 species
AAGGCCCUGGCUUGUUCGCCAGCCGCUCACAUCGUGAACCAAUACAAACGCCUCGGGAGCUGAUCUCGGGUGUGGCCCGAGUGCCACGUCUGGUAGGCACCCACCUGUUCAUCCAGGUUCGCAGGCUGAGCGGUAACGGCAGGUCGGGGCCCUU